GUCAGUCUCUAUGCGGACGACGUUGUCCUCUUUGCAAACCCAAUCGCUGAAGAGAUUGAGGCCCUCAUGGGUAUUCUGCAUGGCUUUGGGGAUGCAACUGGUCUCAAGAUUAACCUCGCUAAAUCAUCUGCGACGCACAUCCGCUGCGAGGACAUCAAUAUGGCCGAGGUUUUGCAGAGCUUUGGGGGACAAAUGAAGUCCUUCCCGAUAACAUACCUGGGGCUAUCGAUUAUAUCGGCAAGGCUCAGGCUUGUGCACCUUCAAUUCGUCCUUGAUCGCAUCCGAGCUCGGCUGGUGGGGUGGAAGACGAAGCUGCUAACCAUUGCCGGACGUCGAGUGCUAGUCCGUGCGGUCCUCACCUCGCGGCCGACCUUCACCCUCACCGCGCUGCGGGUGCCGAAGAAGCUUCUAAAAGAGAUUGACAAAUCCAGAGGAAAGUUCCUUUGGGCGCACAAUGAGAUGAUCACAGGGGCAAAUGCAAAGUUAAUUGGGUAA
rnacentral:rRNA from 1 species